AUUGAACGCUGGCGGCAUGCUUUACACAUGCAAGUCGAACGGCAGCACGGGUGCUUGCACCUGGUGGCGAGUGGCGGACGGGUGAGUAAUACAUCGGAACGUGUCCAGAAGAGGGGGAUAACGCAUCGAAAGAUGUGCUAAUACCGCAUAUGCUCUGAGGAGGAAAGUGGGGGAUCGAAAGACCUUACGCUUUUGGAGCGGCCGAUGUCUGAUUAGCUAGUUGGUGGGGUAAGGGCCUACCAAGGCGACGAUCAGUAGUUGGUCUGAGAGGACGACCAGCCACACUGGGACUGAGACACGGCCCAGACUCCUACGGGAGGCAGCAGUGGGGAAUUUUGGACAAUGGGCGCAAGCCUGAUCCG
rnacentral:rRNA from 1 species